AUUGAACGCUGGCGGCAGGCCUAACACAUGCAAGUCGAGCGGAUGAAGGGAGCUUGCUCCUGGAUUCAGCGGCGGACGGGUGAGUAAUGCCUAGGAAUCUGCCUGGUAGUGGGGGAUAACGUCCGGAAACGGGCGCUAAUACCGCAUACGUCCUGAGGGAGAAAGUGGGGGAUCUUCGGACCUCACGCUAUCAGAUGAGCCUAGGUCGGAUUAGCUAGUUGGUGGGGUAAAGCCCUACCAAGGCGACGAUCCGUAACUGGUCUGAGAGGAUGAUCAGUCACACUGGAACUGAGACACGGUCCAGACUCCUACGGGAGGCAGCAGUGGGGAAUAUUGGACAAUGGGCGAAAGCCUGAUCCAGCCAUGCCGCGUGUGUGAAGAAGGUCUUCGGAUUGUAAAGCACUUUAAGUUGGGAGGAAGGGCAGUAAGUUAAUACCUUGCUGUUUUGACGUUACCAACAGAAUAAGCACCGGCUAACUUCGUG
rnacentral:rRNA from 1 species